GGGGUGCCGCCGGGGUUUUCCUGCCGCGCCCACGUGAGGCUCCGUGGAAAGGUCGCGGCCUGCGGGCAGCCCCCUCAUCGCCCCCGGUCUGUCCGCAGGCCUGGCAGGGGACAGGAGGCUGUCCAGGGGCGAGCCCACCCUGCAGGCCCAGGCAGGAGGGCUGAGGCCGGGCAGGGUCGCGCUCGCAACUCAGGCUGCCGGAGCCCCGGGACAGAGAGGUGGCCGGCCCGGCCUCACAGUUUCGGUUCGGAGACAAAUCGCAGCAGCGUGCCAAGACCAGCUGGGCCAGGAGCACGACUUCCUGGGGGCAGGAGGAGGGAGAAAAAAAGAGGCAAAGAUAUGUUGGACUUGGGUGGCGCCGGCUGCAGAGAGAAGACGCACUGUUUUUGCAAAGGAGCUCGGAGCUGCUAACAGGGACUUUAGUAACACUUCCUGAGGCCCUCAAUCCACAAAGGAGACACUUUUAGUCCCGGCCCCCUGCAAGAGAAGGGUGCAGCGGCGACACUGCAAAGCGGAGGGGGGGUCCCCACCCGCGCCCAGCUCGGGGGACAGGGCC